rnacentral:tRNA from 1 species
CAACAAAUAUUUUAAUUAAAAUAUUAAUUUUGGGUAUUAAUGAUGAGAAAUUAUUCUCUUUGUUGA